AUGAGGGCGACCGAUUGUGGGGAGGAAGCGUGGAGCGAAGCUGCGAGCCGAUGGACAAGAACUGGAUAGAAGGCGUUGCCGAGCAGGGCGAGUGGGCGUAAAUCCGGCGGUUGUGCAGUGAAGGAGUGCGUUC
rnacentral:ncRNA from 1 species